rnacentral:rRNA from 1 species
AUGAACGCUGGCGGCGUGCCUAACACAUGUAAGUCGAACGUGAUGGUGCAGCAAUGUACCUGAAAGUGGCGAACGGGUGAGUAACACGUGGGUAACCUACCCUUGAGUGGGGGAUAACGACUGGAAACGGUCGCUAAUACCGCAUACGACCUUCGAUACGGGAGUAUUGAAGAUGAAAGAUUUAUUGCUCAAGGAGGGGCCCGCGGUCGAUUAGCUAGUUGUGGGGUAAUGGCCUACCAAGGCUGUGAUCGAUAGCUGGUCUGAGAGGAUGAUCAGUCACACGGGAACUGAGACACGGUCCCGACUCCUACGGGGGGCAGCAGUGAGGAAUAUUGCACAAUGGGGGAAACCCUGAUGCAGCAACGCCGCGUGGAGGAUGACAGCCCUUGGGUUGUAAACUCCUUUUCUGUGGGACGAGAGAGGACGGUACCACAGGAAUAAGUCACGGCUAACUACGUGCCAGCAGCCGCGGUAAUACGUAGGUGGCGAGCGUUAUCCGGAAUUACUGGGCGUAAAGCGUA